rnacentral:rRNA from 1 species
UGGGGAAUAUUGGACAAUGGGCGAAAGCCUGAUCCAGCCAUGCCGCGUGUGUGAAGAAGGUCUUCGGAUUGUAAAGCACUUUAAGUUGGGAGGAAGGGCAGUAAGCGAAUACCUUGCUGUUUUGACGUUACCGACAGAAUAAGCACCGGCUAACUCUGUGCCAGCAGCCGCGGUUAUACAUAGGGUGCAAGCGUUAAUCGGAAUUACUGGGCGUAAAGCGCGCGUAGGGUGUUCGUUAAGUUGAAUGUGAAAGCCCCGGGCUCCACCUGUGAACUGCAUCCAAAACUGGCGGGCUAGAUUAGGGCGGAGGGUGUUGGAAUUUCCUGUGUAGCGGUGAAAUGCGUAGAUAUAGGAAGGAACACCAGUGGCGAAGGCGACCACCUGGGCUCAUACUGACACUGAGGUGCGAAAGCGUGGGGAGCAAACAGG